GCUUGCAUGCUUAGCCUAAAAUAAAUAAUAAAUGGCUUCUGCAAAAGUGAACAUGGCGUGAUAUUGAUCCGGCUCAUCUAUCUUCAAUUAAAUUCAGAUGAGCCGAAUUAAUGUCACUCUUGUUUGCUUCAUUGCAUACCUUUUUGGCGUGCUUUUAGUUUUUUUAUGUAUAUGAUCAGCAAUAUUAUGGAUGAAUAUUUCUGCAGAAGUAGACAUGAGUGAUAUUGUUUCUGUUCAUCUUAUUAAUUAAUGAAUGAAACACAUUUGCUUAAUUAUAAGACGAGCCGAAUCAAUAUCACUCGAGUACACUUCACUGCACACAUAUAUAGGAGUAUAUUAUAUGUAUACACACAUGUUCUGUUCUUGAUCUAUAUAGUAUAUACAAGUUCAACCAUCCCUUAAUUGAUUCAAGGAGAAAGCAGCAUCAUAAAUUGAAUUUGGAGAAGGCUAGGAUAUAUAGACAAGCAGUGACAAGAUUAAUCAGUGUCUCUCCUUUUUUGUAUCAAAAUGUAUAUAUAGAGACUAAUUAAUUUGUCCCCCUUGUGGUGGUGUCUCUUUUUAAUUCAAAAUCUUGUUGUUAAUUGUUAUACCUAAUCAUAAUAAUACAAGAGGAGUGUCCUCCAUUGUCA